CCUACGGGAGGCUGCAGUGGGGAAUAUUGGUCAAUGGGCGAAAGCCUGACCCAGCCACGCCGCGUGAGGGAAGAAGGCUCUCUGGUUUUUAAAUUCUUUUUACAGGGGAGCAAAGGAGACGGUACGUGUCGAAUAAGCCACAGCUAACUAAGUGCCAACAGCCGCGGUCAUACGUAGGGGGCAAGCGUUAUCCGGAUUUACUGGGUGUAAAGGGCGUGUAGGCGGGACUGCAAGUCAGAUGUGAAAAUUAUGGGCUCAACCCACCACCAGCAUUUGAAACUGGAGUUCUUGAGUGAUGGAGAGGCAGGCGGAAUUCGGGGUGUAGCGGUGAAAUGCGUAGAUAUACGGAGGAACACCAGUGGCGAAGGCGGCUUGCUGGACAUUAACUGACGCUGAGGCGCGAAAGCGUGGGGAGCAAACAGGAUUAGAUACCCGGGUAGUC
rnacentral:rRNA from 1 species